rnacentral:rRNA from 1 species
UUGUCUCAAAGAUUACGCCAUGCAUGUCUCAGUACAAGCCGAAUUAAGGUGAAACCGCGAAAGGCUCAUUAAAUCAGUUAUGGUUCCUUAGAUCGUACCCACAUUUACUUGGAUAUUUUGUGGUAAUUCUAGAGCUAAUACAUGCAAACAGAGCUCCGACCGGAGACGGAAGGAGCGCUUUUAUUAGAUCAAAACCAAUCGGCGGCGGGCGUCUCGCGCGUCCGUCGUCGUUCACUCUGGUGAAUCUGAAUAACUUUCUGCUGAUCGCACGGUCUCGCACCGGCGACGCAUCUUUCAAAUGUCUGCCUUAUCAACUGUCGAUGGUAGGUUCCGUGCCUACCAGGGUCGUAACGAGUACCGGGGAAUCAGGGUUCGAUUCCGGAGAGGGAGCCUGAGAAACGGCUACCACAUCCAAGGAAGGCAGCAGGCGC